GCGACCCCAGGUCAGGCGGGAUCACCCGCUGAAUUUAAGCAUAUCAAUAAGCGGAGGAAAAGAAACUUACCAGGAUUCCCUUAGUAGCGGCGAGCGGACUGGGAACAGCCCAG
rnacentral:rRNA from 1 species